UCCUUUGUUUUGCUCACAAGUCAUGAUCCCAUAGGUCACAACAUGCAUUAGUAGAAUUUUAGCAGUCUAAAUACUGACCCCAUUAUUAAUUAAAAUUAACUCAAGAGAGAUUUCCGCUUACACCCAAUUAAUCUCGUCGGAGGAGGUGGAAAAAGAAUCGGAACCAGGAACUUACAAUCUUGGCUCAUCCAGUUCACUGGACCAUCCUCGUUCCUGCAUCAAGAUAAAGGGACUCAAAAAAGUCGAUAUCUAAAUUUCUAGCUAGAUUUUAUUUUCACUGCAAUGAUAUUAGAAAUAUAUGGCGAAGAAAAAACCCAGCGGGCAAAAUGACGUUUAUUCAACGUUGAAUCAACGUUGGAAAUGACCUUCCAGACGAUGGAUAGACGUUGAAAAAGGAUUGAUAAUGCAAAUUGGAUCGACGUUACUGUUUCGACGUUGAAACAACGUUGAAAUUAGGUUGCUAAUCUCGUCAACCAUAAUUUAACGUUGAAUCAACGUUGAAACAACGUUGAGACUGACUUCGCAAAUCGACGUCAUACAUUUAACCAUGAAUGAACGUUGAUUCAACGUCUGUUGGCUGCUGUUGAACCAAUGUUUUUAAAACAACGUCAGAGCAACGUAGAUAUUAGGUUGUCGACGUCGCAACCUUUUUUCUACCAAAUUUCAACGUUGAAACAACGUCGUGUGCCCGGUGGGAAGCUUCUGGUUGAAAGCGCCAUGCAAUCAGUUUAAACUAGGGAUAGAUUCUGACUCUGUCUCCUGAUUGGAUGACUAGACAAUGAAGUUCUCUGAUUCGUUCAGUUCAAGUGUGUUCAGUGUUCUGAUUGGUUGACUGGACGUCGUUGCACGAUAGCGAGGUUAUUGCCGCUUUCAGCCAGGGGCCGGUUGUUCAAAGCUGGAUUAACGCUAACCCUCGGUUAAACCGAUCGAUAUUAUGAGGUGUGAUAUCCGCCAAAAUUCAUAUAUUCAAUUAUGCCAUUGGAAAUUGCAUUUAUCAGUUCAGUUAUGCUAUUAUGAUAUUCGAUAUUAUGAUAUUCGAAUUUCAUUCGGCGUGAAACAGUCAUUAUUGAAAUUUCAUUCGGCGUGAAACAGUCAUUAUUGAAAUUUCAUUCGGCGUGAAACAGUCGUUCGGCAUGGCACUCAGAAACCAAAAUUCG